GCUCAGUGUCCCCACGGGAAGGGAUCAGUGGGAGCUUUCAGCGCCAAUGUCUCAUGAGUUGAAGAAAGAAGAGGGUUGUCAUCUCAGUUGACACAGGGGUGGAGGCCCGUGCGUGGGCCCCUGAAGUUUCUAGGGCUGACUCUUCCUAAUUUUCUGUGUGGCCUUGAACAAAUCCUCUCUCUGGAUGUCACUCGCACCUAAGAAGCCAGAUACUUCAGAUCAUUCUCCUCUGGGUCUCUGCUCACAGACCUUCCAUCAAGAAAUUCACUACAGUGUGUUGGAACAGUCUAUGUACCUGACUACCACACAAGGGCUGUUGUAAGGAUCAAAUGGCAUCAUGAAUGGAGGGUACCAAGUCCUGCACCCAGCCUGCAGUGACUAGCACCUGCUCCCUGCUGAACAUGGUGGCUGGGGCUGGACAUGGUCCUUGGGGGUGUGAUCUGAGCAGCCUGCAGCAUUCUGGGCCUUUCAACUGCCGCAUCCUGGUACCAGUCUCAUGCUUCCUGGUACCCUACAGAUGGCUGUCUCCUGGUGGAGUCACCAGGUUGGAGGGGUCCUCAGAAUGCCAACAGAACAGAGCAGCCCUGAGCUCCGGCACCUGUCACUGUGGCUUGACUGGAUACAUAUCUCCAGACCAAGGUCUCUUCUCAGAUUUAUUUUUCUCUUUUUUCCCUCCCACUGGGGACAAAUAGCUUCCAUUCCUGAAGGGAAGUUGCCUGCUUGGAGAUGGACAGAGGAAGAUAUUUGGGUUCAGCUUAUCCCCUCUGGGCACUUUGGGGGAAGCAGCAUGGGUUGGGGCAGGAGAACUCUAAUGUGUAUGUGUUAAUAAACUUACUGUUUUCUAAAAUUUUGUCAAAGGUAUGCAUGUUUAUAGUUUAAAGAGGUGAAGAGUUCCAUGUGGCCUACUGUAUUUUUCCUUCCUUGUAUAACUUUUAUUUUCCUAGGAGCUAAUAACUAUCUUGUUCUUUUGUUUGCUUGCCUUUCUCUGUACUUAUCACUAAUUCAACUCCAGAGUCUUUACUGAUUGCCUAUUCCAAUAUUUUCACCCACAUCAGGUGCUCUAUCAAUUUCAUUGUCCUGAAGAGUUUCCCUGACAGCCUUCUGACCUGG
rnacentral:lncRNA from 1 species